rnacentral:snRNA from 1 species
CACACUUCCCAGCCAAUGUCUAAGAUCAAGUGCAUCACCUUUUCUUAUCACUUUAAUAUCUGACAUAUCCUCGUCUUGAAGAUUUUAUAUUAAAUGGAUUUGGAGGGCACCCAAUGCAUCAACCUGAAACUGCAGUGCUUCCAGGUACUGUGGCCGCAUC